rnacentral:rRNA from 1 species
UACGAAGGGGGCUAGCGUUGCUCGGAAUCACUGGGCGUAAAGGGUGCGUAGGCGGGUCUUUAAGUCAGGGGUGAAAUCCUGGAGCUCAACUCCAGAACUGCCUUUGAUACUGGGAAUCUCGAGUCCGGGAGAGGUGAGUGGAACUGCGAGUGUAGAGGUGAAAUUCGUAGAUAUUAGGAAGAACACCAGUGGCGAAGGCGGCUCACUGGUCCGGUACUGACGCUGAGGUGCGAAAGCGUGGGGAGCAAACAGG